GGUUUCUUGGGCGUCUUUUCUUUUUCCAGGUUGUGUUCUUUGAGCACAUGCACACUCUCUCUCUCCCCCCAACAGAUCAGCUGCAAGCAGUAUGGCAAAGGCAAAACGAGAGAAGCCUGGUGUGUGUGGCGGGGAGACCAGUGUGCUAUUCUGGGUUAUGUUUAAGAAAUGAGAUUAAUUCGGGACUUUGUUAUUAGAGUUGUCAGAAGGCAUUUGUCAAGGCAUCAUGAUAGGGGCUUUCCCUUCCAGCCGGGUUUCUGUGUACAGCAUACCAGCUCCAUAUGACUCUGAGCAGACUGCAAGGCAGGAAAGUCCGUGUACUCGCUACUGCCCAUCCUACCUAGAAGGCUUGUAUCAGAAGUACUGUUUUUUCAACUGGAUAAGGCUGUGUUCCUGGAAGAGAUGGCUUCUAGGAAUAUUACCUAUAAGUUCUUUAAUAGUGACGGUAAUCGUGCUAGUCCUGCACUAUUCCUUCUGUAAGUGUAACUCCCCAGUAUAGUCUGGAUGGGAUGUUUUUUCUUGCACUGUGUGAAUGAUUAGUAUGAAAAGUUCUGCACUAAGCAGCUAAGCAUGUACCGUGUGUAUAAACUACUGACUUUGCCUUCUCCUUAAUGUCCUUGCUAAAGCAAUAAAAUGCAUAAUAACUAGCAGUUGGUAGUUGCACAAGAAUAAUGAAGGUAUUUAUUUUAUGUCUAAAUUUUUUAUCUCUGCUUGUGAAUAACCAUCAUUAUUAUAACUGUCAUCUUUCCUAAGAACCUACAGGAAUUAACUGUCUACCUUCUAUUCACUUCCCCAAAAGAGGAUGGCUACUUAACUUAUGUACGUUCCUUCCCAGAUCUCAACAAAUAGCCAUUAUAACAGUAUCUCUUUAGGAGGGUAGUGCUGCAAAAAAAUGGAAGUUUAACCACUAAGCUUCCUAGUAAAAAUGAUUGUUUGAACCUGUACCUCAUUCCUCUCCCUUCCUUCUGGGCAUUAUUUUGUUAAUGGGACUGACACAGCAUUCUGGCUGUUACUGCAUAUUUCUCGUAGGAACUAAUAUUUACAGAUGGCAAGGACAAAUACAUGCUUCUACAAACUUCUUGUUCCAGAAGCUUUUCUGUAAUGUUUUCAGGUGUGCUAAUUUUUUUUAUCCUUUUUUGUCAGCUCCAGCUUUUUCUUUUAUUUAUAUUGGUGGAAGUGUAGAAAUUCCAAAUCUGACUUAUACAAAUGAUCUCAAUGAUCCAAAGUCACAGAAGUUCCUCCUGCAAGCAGAAGCAAUCCAAAAUUAUUUUGCAGAAACAUAUGAGUCUUCCUCCUUGGGAAAGUACUACUGGAAGUCUGUAGUGGUUGCUUUCAGGUAGGUACCAUUCUAGAAUAUGGUAUAUGUUUGAGGUAUUGUUGUGUUUGUCUUAUCUUUUUUUCAUGCAUUUAAAAUUAGUUAUCUGGGAAAUUAUGCACAUCUCUAUAAUAGAGAAUGAAAACUGCAGAAAUUAAGUAUUUGAGCUAAGAGCUAAGCUAGUAGUGUGAUUUCUGUCUCGCCCUGUAGAAUUGGGGAGAAAAAUUAAGUCUGAUUAAUUGUGCCUUGGUUUAGAGAUUGCUUUUUAAUAUAUUCAUCUACUUUUAACUUUUGAAAUCACAGUUCAGCAGGAUUUUUCUCUAACAUUUGCAGAAUCUUAUUUUGGUUUUGUCUGUUUAAAUGAAGUUCCUUUUUAACUCCUCGAGACAAAACUUAAUGGUAUAAUUUUGGGUAGAGCACUUUAAGAUUUCUCACCAGGAGCUUAAGUAAAGUAGUAAUACACUGUAAAUACAUUGAGCAGAUGGCUAGCACUAUCCCGACAGGCUUUGAAAACAUCUGGGAGGUCAGCCCAUAGGUCUUUUUGGAAGGAAGGGUGUGAUUAGCUGUCUCUUUGAAUCACUUAAAUAAUACUUUGUAUAUGCGCACAUACACAUUAUUUAUUUUAACAAGAAUUGUGUGAAAUGUUGUAUCAAUGUACAGGCCUAAAAUGAUAUUGUCAUAUGGUGUGAGACUCAAUUAAAAAUGUUAAGGAAAAUGUGUCUAGAACUGUGAUGUUGCCUUAAAAGUGUAUAAUUAUGUAGCAGGGAUGGACACAUCCAAUUCCAUAAAAAGGAUAGCAAGGAUUUUCUGUGAAGUGCAAUUUUCAACCUCAACGUGUUACUGUUUAAGCAGCAUAUUUUUAAAAUAUUUCUACUGUACGGAUAAACAAUUGUUAAACAAGAGAGCUUUUUGCCACU
rnacentral:lncRNA from 1 species